rnacentral:lncRNA from 1 species
GCUUCGACGUUUCUUUCAGCUGCUAAUUUUGAAAAGAAUACUAGUGAACAACACAAUCAAAAAGGCUAUUCAAAACGAAGCAAGACCACGAAAUGUUCGAAAGCUAUCUCAGGUUUGAGCUUCAGUUGGGGACAUACUUGAUAAGGACCAACAUACACUAUCAGAGCUACAACUUAAGUUUAGUCUUUUGCUGCUGAUGUUGGUCCUAAUCAAGUAUGGUCAAGGGUUUCAGAAUGAACUCAAUGAAAAGAAAAGUUCUUAAACAAUUACCUCAUUCUUCUGCAUUUCCACCAU